rnacentral:rRNA from 2 species
CUCUGGUAUUGAUUGGUGCUUGCAUCAUGAUUUACAUUUGAGUGAGUGGCGAACUGGUGAGUAACACGUGGGAAACCUGCCCAGAAGCGGGGGAUAACACCUGGAAACAGAUGCUAAUACCGCAUAACAACUUGGACCGCAUGGUCCGAGCUUGAAAGAUGGCUUCGGCUAUCACUUUUGGAUGGUCCCGCGGCGUAUUAGCUAGAUGGUGGGGUAACGGCUCACCAUGGCAAUGAUACGUAGCCGACCUGAGAGGGUAAUCGGCCACAUUGGGACUGAGACACGGCCCAAACUCCUACGGGAGGCAGCAGUAGGGAAUCUUCCACAAUGGACGAAAGUCUGAUGGAGCAACGCCGCGUGAGUGAAGAAGGGUUUCGGCUCGUAAAACUCUGUUGUUAAAGAAGAACAUAUCUGAGAGUAACUGUUCAGGUAUUGACGGUAUUUAACCAGAAAGCCACGGCUAACUACGUGCCAGCAGCCGCGGUAAUACGUAGGUGGCAAGCGUUGUCCGGAUUUAUUGGGCGUAAAGCGAGCGCAGGCGGUUUUUUAAGUCUGAUGUGAAAGCCUUCGGCUCAACCGAAGAAGUGCAUC